CUGAUGCAGCGACGCCGCGUGAGGGAUGACGGCCUUCGGGUUGUAAACCUCUUUCGCCAGGGACGAAGCUUCGGUGACGGUACCUGGAGAAGAAGCACCGGCCAACUACGUGCCAGCAGCCGCGGUAAUACGUAGGGUGCGAGCGUUGUCCGGAAUUACUGGGCGUAAAGAGCUCGUAGGCGGUUUGUCGCGUCGUCUGUGAAAUUCUGCAACUCAAUUGUAGGCGUGCAGGCGAUACGGGCAGACUUGAGUACUACAGGGGAGACUGGAAUUCCUGGUGUAGCGGUGAAAUGCGCAGAUAUCAGGAGGAACACCGGUGGCGAAGGCGGGUCUCUGGGUAGUAACUGACGCUGAGGAGCGAAAGCGUGGGUAGCGAACAGGAUUAGAUACCCUGGUAGUCCACGCCGUAAACGGUGGGUACUAGGUGUGGGUUCCUUUUCACGGGAUCCGUGCCGUAGCUAACGCAUUAAGUACCCCGCCUG
rnacentral:rRNA from 1 species